rnacentral:antisense_RNA from 2 species
CUUCAAGGAACCGAGCCAGAGCGGCUGUUCGGUGUCGCGCUCCUGCCCGUACGUGGCGAGCAGGGCCUCCGCCUC